GGGACCUCAGAGGGAAACUUGCACAGGGCAUUCCAUUGCACAGUUGAGAGAGAUCUUGGAAAACCGAAGUAUAAUUGUCUCCUGCGAAGACAAUUACAGGCCGGCACAGUUACUUCAGUGUUCUAGAAACCCCAACCACACCACCUGCACACUUUGUUCCUGAAAUCAUGGUAUUGUUGUUAGCUAAAUAUAAUAUUGAAUGAAGUAUAAUAUAUAAUCUAUAAAGAGGAAACUAGAGAAGGAGAGAUGGUAAUAAGGAAAAUCGUAGCUAAUCUUUGGUUUGCAUUAGCGUAGAGAUAUUGCAUACGCUGUGUGGAUUGACAAAAUAAAAA